rnacentral:rRNA from 1 species
CUAACGAGGAUUUCCUUAGUAACGGCGAGUGAACAGGAAAAAGCCCAGCGCUAAAUCCAGUAGCAUAUAAGCUAUAUGGAAAUGUAGCGUAUAGGUGUAACUAUCCGUAUCGUUUCCUGCACCCAAAGUCCCCUUGAGCGGGGCUACAGUCCAUAGAAGGUGCUAGACCUGUACGGGUGAGGAAAUUUUAUGGUAGGUUGCUCCUUGGAGUCGGGUUGUUUGAGAUUGCAGCCCAAAGAGGGUGGUAAACCUCAUCUAAGGCUAAAUACGGCCACGAGACCGAUAGCAAACAAGUACCGUGAGGGAAAGUUGCAAAGAACUUUGAAGAGAGAGUUCAAGAGGGCGUGAAACCGCUGAGAUGGAAACGGAUAGAGUUAACGAAACUAUACCGGUAUUCAACCAAUCAAUUUAGCAAUCUUACGGCUUUCAUACCUUUCCUCGUGUAAAGGAUAUUGACGUAGGAUAUAAUGUUAAAUUUUCAUGUAAGAUUGGUGUAUUUACCGGUGGUAUGCAUCGAGAGCUUCGCUGUUGUAUAUUGAUACAUAUUUAGUGGACCACCUAACAAUGUGGAACCCUGGAUAUGAUGAAAUAUAUCUUCGGUGAAUUUAUUUUUCGCCAAUUUAUAUUGGUGCAUCGAUUAUAAUUUAGCUGAUUACAUUUGUUGUGGUCGCAUGCGACUAAUCAAUAAAUGUUUCAAUUCAAUUGGUAAAAUUAUAAUAUUGUAUGCGAUCAAGGAUCAUGAAAAUUACAUCUCGAUGUGAACGUUAAUCACCUAUCCGACCCGUCUUGAAACACGGACCAAGGAGU